rnacentral:misc_RNA from 1 species
CGCCAUCGCGAGCAGGCUCGCUCCCACAGGAGCCCCCAUUCCAAUGUGGGAGCGAGCCUGCUCGCGAUCGAG